GGGGGGGGGGGGGGGGGGGGGGGGCGCGGGCAGGGCGAGCGGCAGCACGGGUGCUUGCACCUGGUGGCGAGUGGCGAACGGGUGAGUAAUACAUCGGAACAUGUCCUGUAGUGGGGGAUAGCCCGGCGAAAGCCGGAUUAAUACCGCAUACGAUCCACGGAUGAAAGCGGGGGACCUUCGGGCCUCGCGCUAUAGGGUUGGCCGAUGGCUGAUUAGCAAGUUGGUGGGGUAAAGGCCUACCAAGGCGACGAUCAGUAGCUGGUCUGAGAGGACGACCAGCCACACUGGGACUGAGACACGGCCCAGACUCCUACGGGAGGCAGCAGUGGGGAAUUUUGGACAAUGGGCGAAAGCCUGAUCCAGCAAUGCCGCGUGUGUGAAGAAGGCCUUCGGGUUGUAAAGCACUUUUGUCCGGAAAGAAAUCCUUGACUCUAAUACAGUCGGGGGAUGACGGUACCGGAAGAAUAAGCACCGGCUAACUACGUG
rnacentral:rRNA from 1 species